rnacentral:rRNA from 1 species
AUUGAACGCUGGCGGCAUGCUUUACACAUGCAAGUCGAACGGUAACAGGCCGCAAGGUGCUGACGAGUGGCGAACGGGUGAGUAAUGCAUCGGAACGUGCCCAGUCGUGGGGGAUAACGCAGCGAAAGCUGCGCUAAUACCGCAUACGAUCUAUGGAUGAAAGCGGGGGACCGUAAGGCCUCGCGCGAUUGGAGCGGCCGAUGUCAGAUUAGGUAGUUGGUGGGGUAAAGGCUCACCAAGCCGACGAUCUGUAGCUGGUCUGAGAGGACGACCAGCCACACUGGGACUGAGACACGGCCCAGACUCCCACGGGAGGCAGCAGUGGGGAAUUUUGGACAAUGGGGGCAACCCUGAUCCAGCAAUGCCGCGUGCAGGAAGAAGGCCUUCGGGUUGUAAACUGCUUUUGUACGGAACGAAACGGCUCUGGUUAAUACCCGGGGCUAAUGACGGUACCGUAAGAAUAAGCACCGGCUAACUACGUGCCAGCCGCCGCGGUAAGAC